GGAAGGAUCAUUAGCGAGAGGGGGGGAGGGGGUUGGAGGUGUUGGUGUUGGUUUUUGGUGAGAAUGAUGGUUUAUGAUCGGGAUGAUUGUCUAUGAUCAGAAUGAUUGUUUAUUCAAUCAAAACCAAAACCAACAAUCACACACACCCACACCCAGCAUCACACAAAGCAUUUUGCUUUGUUUUCACGCUUGUUUGUGUUUGUCAAAUCAAUGAUUCCAUAAUCAAUGAAUGAUUCCAUAAUUAUUGACAACUUUUAACAAUGGAUCUCUUGGCUCUUGCAACGAUGAAGAACGCAGCAAAAUGCGAAACGUAAUGCGAUUUGCAUGAAUCUGUGAGUCAUUUAAUUUUUGAACGCAACUUGCACCCAUCAUGAUGGGUAUGUUUGUUUGAGACAUGGUAAUAUAUAUUCAUGUUUAUUGAAUGAAAUGGUCAUGACAAUGUCUUGACUGGAAUGUGGGAAUAUAGUGGUCGGAUGGGUUGUCCAUGUGUUAGGGACUGUUGUAAUGACACGAUUCAAUUCAUGACACAACCUCAUCCCAUCUAAACCACCAAAUCAAAUCAACACGUCUCAAAUCAAGCAAGAUUACCCGCUGAACUUAAGCAUAUCAGUAAGCGGAGGAAAAGAAACUAACAAGGAUUCCCUCAGUAACGGCGAGUGAAGCGGGAAUAGCUCAAAUUUGAAAUCCCAAUGCAUUAGAUGUAUUGUGAAUUGUAGUCUAAAGAAAGACAAGUGGUGGUGGUGUUGGUGGAUGGACCAAGUUCUUUGAAAAAAGAUACCAGAGAGGGUGAGAGUCCCGUCAGUCAUCCACAACACAAAUCAGGUUGUCUUUCGACGAGUCGAGUUGUUUGGGAAUGCAGCUCAAAGAGGGUGGUAAAUCCCAUCCAAGGCUAAAUAUAGGCAAGAGACCGAUAGCAAACAAGUACCGUGAGGGAAAGAUGAAAAGCACCUUGAAAAGGGAGUUAAAAAGCACGUGAAAUUGUUAAAAGGGAAACGAUAGAGAUUGUUGAGGGAGGUGGAGUGGUUGGACAUUUCGGUGUUUGGCUUAUUCUAUUGCCCAAGUCAAAGCCAGUGGUGACUGUCCAAGAUGGUUUGUGGAAAGGUGGGGGCAAUUGUUCCUUUAUAGUCCAUGAUGGUUGGGAUGGUGGCGACUGGAUGAGCGGUUUAGUGUUGAUGGUUUGGUGUUGAUGGGAGGUGGUUUUGGAUGGUAGUUGAAUAAACAAUCAACCAAACCACCACCAAACAACACCCCAUCUCAAACACUCGACGAUUUGACAUGAUGGUCUUUACCGACCCGUCUUGAAACACGGACCAAGGAGUCUAACAAUAUUGCGAGUAUUAGAGUGACAAACUCGGGAUGCGCAAUUAAAGUGAUAACCUUUUAAACACAAGGGACCGGCUGAUACAUUAAUCGGACCGAGUAAGAGCAACAUUGUUGGGACCCGAAAGGCGGUGAACUAUGCCUGACUAGGGCGAAGCCAGAGGAAACUCUGGUGGAGGCUCGUAGCCGUUCUGACGUGCAAAUCGAUGGUCAAAGUUGGGUAUAGGGGCGAAAGACUAAUCGAACCGCCUAGUAGCUGGUUCCCUC
rnacentral:misc_RNA from 1 species